rnacentral:rRNA from 1 species
GACGAACGCUGGCGGCGUGCCUAAUACAUGCAAGUAGAACGCACAGUUUAUACCGUAGCUUGCUACACCAUAGACUGUGAGUUGCGAACGGGUGGGUAACGCGUAGGUAACCUGCCUGGUAGCGGGGGAUAACUAUUGGAAACGAUAGCUAAUACCGCAUAAUAUUAAUUAUUGCAUGAUAAUUGAUUGAAAGAUGCAACUGCAUCACUACCAGAUGGACCUGCGUUGUAUUAGCUAGUAGGUGAGGUAACGGCUCACCUAGGCGACGAUACAUAGCCGACCUGAGAGGGUGAUCGGCCACACUGGGACUGAGACACGGCCCAGACUCCUACGGGAGGCAGCAGUAGGGAAUCUUCGGCAAUGGACGAAAGUCUGACCGAGCAACGCCGCGUGAGUGAAGAAGGUUUUCGGAUCGUAAAGCUCUGUUGUAAGAGAAGAACGGGUGUGAGAGUGGAAAGUUCACACUGUGACGGUAUCUUACCAGAAAGGGACGGCUAACUACGUG